rnacentral:tRNA from 1 species
GGCUUAGCUCAGUUGGUAGAGCAACUGAUUUGUAAUCAGUGGGUCGGGAGUUCGAGUCUUCUAGCC